UGUGGAAUUUACAUAUGGACUAAUUUGAAAGGUUGAAACUAUUUAGAACGAUGUUGAUUUUAUGAUUGAUUAUGUUUAGGAUUUGAUUCAUUGGAUUUAGUAGAUUGAAGAAUUUGCAUAGAAAUCGAGGUAAGAGAUUUUCUACUGGACUCAAUUGUGAUUGUGAACUGUGAUUGUGAACUGUAUGUGUGUUGAAUGUAUACUGUGGGUUGACUGAAAAUAUAUAUGAAUGUAUAUGAAUUGAAGUAGACUUGAUGUCGAAUGUAUAUCGUGAUUGUCAUGGAAUCUAUAUAUAAAUGUGUGUAUGUGGACAGGACGGAGAUUGUAGAUGGUGUUUGUAUGAGAUGCAGAUGUGAAUCUUGUGAUUUUCGUUUAGAUUGGGUGUACGUUACGUUAUAGUAUUAUUUUCGUUUAGAUUGGGUGUGAGAGAAUAAAUGCUUCUUAGUACUUUCUUUCUUAUUCUUAUUUAUGGGGUUUUCUAAUUUUAGGCUAUAAAAAGCUUUCAUUGUAUAGUGGAUUUUGUUUUGGGAUUUGGGAAUAUAAAGUCAAGUCCUCUUGCCUGUUGCUUCCCAAAACCCUCCCCUACUCUCUCCCUUUUACUUCCUUUUCUUUUCUUUCUUCCUAUGCCAUGUUGCUUUCACAUGUGAACUUCAAUUAUCUCAAUUUUGGGUAUGUAUCCAUUUAAAUGUUUUAUUAUGUUUUACUUCCACAGUCAUAAAAUUUAAAUUGAUGCAUACAUAAAAAGUUAAAUUGAUGCUAUCCAAAGUUCGGAGGUAUAAAUCGAUAUUUGUCCUUUUUUUUAUUUCAACUUCUAUUGGUUGAGUCGCUUUUAUAAUAUAAAAUGUUGUUGAUUAAUAAACAAUAACUUUAUUUCUCAUUAGAUUUAUAAUGAUGGAUAAAUCUUGGAUGCACAAGAGUAGAUUGUCUAAAGAUUAUGAGUUGGGUGUGGAAAACUUCAUCAAAUUUGGAUUUUCUAAUACAAUGUCCACUACAAGUCGGGAGUACUGAGUGUGGAUACUACGUCAUGAGGUAUUUGAGAGAAAUUGUGACUAGGGGAAGCAUUGUCAUAUCCGAUGCGGUAUGUUAUAUAUCAAACUAUAUUAAUUUUGUGAGUUAAUUGGUUUAUUUGUAUAGUCAGUUAAUUCAUUUAA